CGUGAAUGGCUGGUAUGGUUACACACAACAUUGUUCUUGUUAUGUCUCUCUAAUCUCAAACGUUAAUUGUCUGACUUUGUGUGUUUUGUUAUGAAUUCAGAUAGAGAUUAACUACUUGGGGCAGUUAAGCCACCAAAACUUAGUUAAACUGAUUGGUUACUGCUUGGAAGAUGAGCAAAGGCUACUUGUAUAUGAGUUUAUGCACAAGGGUUGUCUUGAGGAUCAUCUUUUCACAAAUGGUGUGAAGUGUAGGCCGCUCUCUUGGACCUUACGGGUUAAGGUUGCGCUUGAUGCAGCUAAAGGUCUCGCCUUUCUUCAUAGUGACCCUGUUAAAGUCAUAUACCGAGACAUAAAAGCCUCCAAACAUCUUGCUGGACUCGGUAUACAAACGCUCUUUCGAAUAAAAACUGUUAAAUUAAGUGUUAAAUUAGUUUAGAUGGCUAACAAAAUAUGUUUCUAGUCUAUAAAUUAGUUUAUCCGGCUAACAAAAUAUGUUUCUAGUCUAUAAAUUAGUUUAGCCGGCUAAUAAACAUAUGUUUUUGUAUUCAUUUUCUUUGAUUUAUUUUGGGUAAAGUUCACUUAAAUAUUCAUAUUGUUGAUAUGUAAGUAAACUCAGUUAAAAUGUGAUUAUAUUAUAUACUUUGUAAA